rnacentral:rRNA from 1 species
UUGACCUCGAAUCAGGUAGGAAUACCCGCUGAACUUAAGCAUAUCAAUAAGCGGAGGAAAAGAAACCAACCGGGAUUACCUCAGUAACGGCGAGUGAAGCGGUAACAGCUCAAAUUUGAAAUCUGGCUCUUGCGGAGUCCGAGUUGUAAUUUGUAGAAGAUGCUUUGGGUUGUGGGUUCGGCCUAAGUUCCUUGGAACAGGACGUCAUAGAGGGUGAGAAUCCCGUAUGUGGCCGAGGCCCGCGCCUAUGUAAAGCUCUUUCAACGAGUCGAGUUGUUUGGGAAUGCAGCUCAAAAUGGGUGGUAAAUUUCAUCUAAAGCUAAAUAUGGGCCAGAGACCGAUAGCGCACAAGUAGAGUGAUCGAAAGAUGAAAAGCACUUUGGAAAGAGAGUUAAACAGUACGUGAAAUUGUUGAAAGGGAAGCGCUUGCAACCAGACUUGGGCGCUGCCGAUCACCUUGAGUUUUCUCGAGUGCACUCGACAGCGCACAGGCCAGCAUCGGUUCGGGUGGCUGGAUAAAGGCCGUAGGAAUGUGGCUCUCUUCGGGGAGUGUUAUAGCCUACGGUGCCAUGCAGCCCAGCCGGACCGAGGACCGCGCCUUCGGGCUAGGAUGCUGGCGUAAUGGUUGUAAGCGACCCGUCUUGAAACACGGACCAAGGAGUCUAACAUCUAUGCGAGUGUUUGGGUGGUAAACCCAUACGCGGAAUGAAAGUGAACGUAGGUGAGAACCCCUUUGGGGCGCAUCAUCGACCGAUCCUGAUGUCUUCGGAUGGAUUUGAGUAAGAGCAUAGCUGUUGGGA